CUGGAACUGUGCAGGAGGGCCAGGCCAAUUGCCCAGGAUAUCAGAAAAGGGUUUGCAGAGGACAGGGUAUUUUGAUCUUAAAAAAACAGGUAAUUUGGCUGGGUUAAUGGACCACCUAGGAAGACUAUGGCCCAUCCAAAGAGGCUCCUGGCAUUAAGGUCUCGGGGCAGGAGAUGAGGCUGGCCUGAAAACAACUAUCAAAGCAUUUGGAAGAGAAAGUGGAAAGUACUUUGAUGGAAUGAGUCUACAGAUGAUAAAAAUUGGGGAGCCAUUAUGUUGCAGAUAACUGUGAUCAGUAUUCUGUGAGCUGUCUUGACAUCACUGCAGAACUGAUGAAGUGAGUUCUUCCCUCCACCCCCUUCUGGCCACUGGA